rnacentral:rRNA from 2 species
UGUGAACUCGAAGAGUAGGGCGGGACACGUGGUAUCCUGUCUGAAUAUGGGGGGACCAUCCUCCAAGGCUAAAUACUCCUGACUGACCGAUAGUGAACCAGUACCGUGAGGGAAAGGCGAAAAGAACCCCGGCGAGGGGAGUGAAAAAGAACCUGAAACCGUGUACGUACAAGCAGUGGGAGCACCUUCGGGUGUGACUGCGUACCUUUUGUAUAAUGGGUCAGCGACUUAUAUUCUGUAGCAAGGUUAACCGUAUAGGGGAGCCGCAGGGAAACCGAGUCUUAACUGGGCGUUAAGUUGCAGGGUAUAGACCCGAAACCCGGUGAUCUAGCCAUGGGCAGGUUGAAGGUUGGGUAACACUAACUGGAGGACCGAACCGACUAAUGUUGAAAAAUUAGCGGAUGACUUGUGGCUGGGGGUGAAAGGCCAAUCAAACCGGGAGAUAGCUGGUUCUCCCCGAAAGCUAUUUAGGUAGCGCCUCGUGAAUUCAUCUUCGGGGGUAGAGCACUGUUUCGGCUAGGGGGUCAUCCCGACUUACCAACCCGAUGCAAACUACGAAUACCGAAGAAUGUUAUCACGGGAGACACACGGCGGGUGCUAACGUCCGUCGUGAAGAGGGAAACAACCCAGACCGCCAGCUAAGGUCCCAAAGUCAUGGUUAAGUGGGAAACGAUGUGGGAAGGCACAGACAGCCAGGAUGUUGGCUUAGAAGCAGCCAUCAUUUAAAGAAAGCGUAAUAGCUCACUGGUCGAGUCGGCCUGCGCGGAAGAUGUAACGGGGCUAAACCAUGCACCGAAGCUGCGGCAGCGACACUAUGUGUUGUUGGGUAGGGGAGCGUUCUGUAAGCCUGCGAAGGUGACCUGUGAGGGUUGCUGGAGGUAUCAGAAGUGCGAAUGCUGACAUAAGUAACGAUAAAGCGGGUGAAAAGCCCGCUCGCCGGAAGACCA